rnacentral:lncRNA from 1 species
AAACAGAGCUUGCGUUUAUCUGCUUCUUUGUCAUCAAUUCAAUCAAACUUUCCGUCGGGAAAUUUUCCGUCUCCAAUUCCAAAAAUGUCGUCGUGCUGCGGUGGUAAAUGUGGUUGCGGGUCCGGCUGCAGCUGCGGCAGUGGCUGCAACGGGUAAUCUUUCUACCUCUCUGUUUGUUUUCCGAGAAUCUGGAAAAAAGAAAAUCCCAGAAAAUUUCUGCUCUGAUUUGGGUUUUUGACUACAUGGGUUUUUGUUCAGGUGUGGGAUGGCUCCUGAUCUGAGCUACAUGGAGGGGUCCACCACUGAGACCCUCGUGAUGGGAGUUGCUCCCCAGAAGUCGUACGUAUUCUCAUCUCUCAGAAAUGAGAUCCCAAAUUAUUUUUGAAAUAUGUAAUUUGCAGAUUUUGUGGUUAUAAUUUUGGGAGACACGGAGAAACAGAAGUAGAUGGACACCAAACCGACAAUAAAAGUUUUAAAACGACAAUAAAAGGGAAAAGGACUCCGAUCCCUUCCUCCAAUUCAAAUCAGGAAAUUUAUGAUGUUGAAAUUUUUUUCUUUACUAAUUAAUGAAAUCUUUUUGUCAAUCAAAAAAUGAAAGAUAAAUUAGUUUUUUGUUACAAAAAUAUGAUGGGUAAUAAUGUAAUUUUAAAGGUUUAAAUUUUAUUAUUUUUAUUGAAAUAUUACUUGCCGAUGAUAUUAAAAUACCUUUAAUAUUAUAUAAAAAAAUAACCAAAAAAUACCUUCCCAACUCUCCCAGUUCUCUCUCUCUCCUAUUUUUUUUUAAAUGUGUUCAUACAUAUAAAUUGCAAGUAAAUAUUAGUAAUUUUUAAAGUGAGUUUCUGUUUGUAAUCGUUGAAUCUGUAAGGAUUUUCUGAUUUGAUGAUUAGGAGAAAGGGAUAUGCGGAGUGGAUUUAUUCCCAGUAAAAGGAAACAAAAUCAUGAUUUAUGUACGGUUUAUUGUCUGUUUAACAUAAGUUAAAUUUGUCUUUGUUUUGUUUUUAUUGAAACCGCGAUCGGUAUGAUUUAGGGAAGCAUGGAGAGAGAAAGCAUCAUUUAUACACUGACUUAUUGUCUGUUUCGGAGCGCUGUAACAUUUGUUUUGUAAUUUUGAUGUGCAGUCACAUGGAGGCAUCUGAGAUGGGAGUUGCUGCCGAGAACGGAUGCAAGUGUGGAGACAACUGCACCUGCAACCCCUGCAACUGCAAGUGAGAGGGACAGAUGGCACCUUCUGAUGAAGCAAGAGAAUCGCGGGGCUUAUAUGUUUAGCAGUAAUAUAUGUAUGUGUGUGUGUCGUAAUCAUGAAUCAUGAUCCAAAUUUACGAAGGUCGUGUUUUUAGAAUAAAGUGGCCAUGGCUUCUUCUGAGCUGCACGUCCUACUAGGCUGGGAUCUGGUCCUAGGUUAUGGCUGCUUGUUGUCUGUUUGCUUUGUACAUGCAGUAGUCGUAUUUGUGUUUUUAUGUUCGUGUUAACUUGGUGGAUCGUAUUAUGUGUUUCUGAUGAAAUUAAUGAAAAACUUGCUCCAUCUUUUGCUUUAAUUUUUGGGUUAAUUGACAAGGAAAACGAGUGCAAUAAGUUCCAACAACAAAAGUUUCUAAGAUGUUCUGGGGAAAUUUGGAGUACAACAUAUUUCGAUGUUUUAACCUUUUAAGAAUUUGUCAAACAUCCAACGAUUAUCGGAGAAUUUGUGUAGAAAGUCGUAUAUAUGGAGGAGAAAAACACACAAGAAGAAUUAGAUUAGAUCUGUUACUAAUCCAAACAUUUUUAAAAAGGGAUUUUAACAAAAAAAAAAAAAUGGUAUUAUUUAUUUUAACGAAAAAUUAUAUUUUUAUAAUAAAAAAUUAAUAUUAGUACUAUUUAUUUUAUUUUUUUAUUUCGUAUUUAUCGUUAACUUAAAAUUUUUAAAUUAUUUUUAUUAGUUUUUUUUUUUUUAAAAAUAUUAACCAUCUAUUUGGGAUAAUAAUUUAGCCAUUAAUAAGACUCCAAAAAAAUAAUCAUCAAAGUAUUUGGAGAACCAUCAACCCUAUCCUUUAUUUCGUUCCAUGGUUAAAAAAAAAAAAAAGAACAAAAAAGCAGGAACUAGUGGUAAGCUAUGGUUAUUAACCUUUUUUUGGUCCGAAACCGGGAUUGUAAUUUUGUUAUGUCGGUGGUUACGAUCAAGCAGAUCUAACGGCUCGAAAUAUUUCACAUUUUUUCAAAACUCACCCAUCCAAUAUUUAUUGUAUGGUUGUGGUUCAACCACAUUUUUUUGUUGGAAACUCACCCUCGAUCUAAUAUUUAUUGUAUGGUUGUGGUUCACGUUACGCUUUGGACGGGCGAUGUCUUUAUGCUGGGAGCAGCAGCUUUUGGGCACUCCACAUGUUGGUCGAAAAAGUGUCACCGUGACAUCUCAUGUUAGUGUAACAUCUCGGUGAGGACAGUUUCAAUUGUCGAACGAAAAUAUGACGAAGCAUAAGUGCCUUGCCGUAUCAAUGACUCAGCAAUAAGGCUUUGUAAAUUUCAUUCAGUUCAAGAUUGUAACAACAAAUAGAUGGAAUUCAUUAGAAAUCAUGAAUAAUCUUCGUUGCUAGUUUACAAAUCAACACAAACAGGGUCUUUUCAGUCUUUUACAAUGACACGUCCAUAAGGUUUUACUUGGGCGAGAAAUUUCCGUAGAGCUGCCUUCUCACACGGGGUUUGACCAACUUGAGGUUGGAUAGAUUAAAAACUAAAAUACAGGAGGUUUUAGAGUUGGAGUUGACGUGGUCAGACACCCCUAUCCAAAUUUCACAUUUGCUUGACCUGUGAAAUAUCUGAGCAGCUGAGUGUUGCCUUUAUUUCCUUAUCAAGUACCCCUAUCGCUGCUUUGUUAAACAGGUUGACAAUCUGUUAAAAGAAAUUAAUUAGAGCAGAUUAGUAAUCAUUCAUCAUUCAACGGGGAAGGUUGUGGUGAAACUGUCUUCUGGGAUCACCUGCUUAGUUGAGAGGCCUAUUUUCUCCAAAUCGUUCAGCUGAAACAUGCAACGUUCAACAUCACAGUUACUCAAAAACUUAGUUCCAAUUUCGCUGUACCGUUCCAAUUUUAUCGGAUAGUCCAUGAAAAAACAAAUGUAAUUCAAGUUUCAUCUGUUCCUAAACCUUAAUAAACUUGCUUACCGAUUUUAAAGGGCUCGUUUCUCUGAGCUCGAGUAUGUAUUCAGCCAUUUUGACUCCUAUUCCCUGAUUGAUGAACGCGAGGGAAAAAGAAAGUAUCAGAAGGCAAGUAAUUAUUUUAAGAACACACAAAGAUGCAGCAUUUGAUAGGAACCUUUAGCUCCAGCAGCUCUUCCCUGCGGUUGAGAAAACCAGUCGAAAUAUUAGGUUCAUUUGGUAUGAUUGAGUGAAAAAUGCAAGAAACGAAAAAACGAAGAAGCUUCAAAGAGAUGAUAAGAUUUUUACCUGUUGGCUGUGUUCAAGAAGUCAAUAUAAUCUUGAAGUAGGAACUUCUGUGCAAUAAGCGAAAGAAAAACAGAUGAAAAUCACAUUAAAAAGCUAGAACUUAACUAAUAGAGUUGUACGUAAUGAUUGUACCUUCAAGUUUGAUCCGCAAGCAGUGAAUUUAUCAAGUGGGGUGCCUGUCCUUUGGAACAUGUUUUUCGUGCAGGUCGCUAAAGAGGGAGUUUUCGGAGUCUUUGGAUCAAAGAGUAGGGUGCAAUCUCCAUUUGUGAAUAAGGGUUCACUGAGGGGAUUUUGAUUUAUAUUGGUGUUGAUCGGGGAGAGAGCUUUUCUCAAGGAACUUUGAGGUGUGUUUUUCUUCCCGCUGACGGGUGAUGAGUCGUUUGCAAAGUUUUCCUCCUGGUUUGGUGGUUCAGCUAUGCAUAUAUACAAGAAAAUAGUGCAUUUAUUCAAUUUGUUUAGAGUGUUUGAAGGAGCAUAUUAAGUAAUAAAACCAUAUAGAGCUGAAACAUACCAGGUAAACUUGUAUUUGAUUUGAGAACGGAUCCACAAGCUCCAGCAUUGCCCACUUGUUUAUUAUCCUUAGCGGCGAAUUGCAGGCUCUGGAAAGCAAUUCCAACUCAUAAAUACACAAUGACAUAAACAUCAAACGCAAGAUAAACUAAUUCGGAAUGAAUUCAGUAGCUUCUCAUCCCCAAGUGGAACUGUUAAACUCAAACUUUCAAAUAAUAUGCCAUCUCAUGAAUAUCCUAAUGUGAUGAAUAAAGUUUCACAAUAGAGUAAGAAUAAGAAUAUAUUGAAUACACUAUAACGUAGUUCUAAUUUUAUCAUUUUCCAUCCAUGUACUCCCUAAAAUUUAGUAAUUACCUCCAAAUUGGAAUCAACUAGACUUUCAUUGUCGAUUAUGUUCCUGAUAGGUCUUUUGAUUGUCCUGCAAAAAAUUUCAACAAUCAAACAAAAGUGACUAAUGCAUAGCAUGAAGGAUAUACAAUUCAACUAGUUACUUGUCAUUGUACCUUUCUUUCACAGAGCAGGCGCUUCUGUUUGUAUUAACCUUGGAUUUCAUAGAACUGAGGUUGAUGCUGGGUUUCUUGACAUUAGCAAUAGAAGAACUUGGAGAUUUCCCCAACAAGGGAGAAUUGAAUGCUUCAAUUCUUCGCACACUCUUUGUCUUUCCUCUUGAUUCAAGCCAAGUACGGAGUUUGGCUUCCAUGUCAACUUUAACCUUCGGGGUCUCUUGCUUGUGAGCUGAAGGAACAAAGUUGGUAAUGUGGCGUGACCGAGCUGCCAAGCUGACAGUAUGAACAGACUCCUGGUACUCUCCUGGAUUCUAUUAUCAAAGAAAAUUGUUUCCAAUAUAAGUUUCAAAGAAAAAAAAAAGAUAAUAAUAAGUACAGGCCAGACGAAAGCACUUCUAUUCAAACGCUAAUUCAAACUUCUUACCAAGCAAGUAAUCAUCAAAGCCUGACUCAUCCCACCUAGUGAGUCUUGCAAAAUACGAGUCAAUUUACUCUCUCUAUAGGGCACUCGGGAUAAGUUGUUGUUCAGUGCAUAAAUGACAUUUGAUAAUGCAAACAAGGACUGGUUAAUCUUCGCACUCUCUUGGAGACGGAUCCCUUCGUUGCAAGUUCUUCUAUUAUCUUCAUUACCUGCUUGAAAUACACAUGUAGAUUAAAUAAAGAAAAGACAAAGAUCAUGUACUUUAUUUAUAGGGAAAAGUUUAGGAGUGAGAAAAGACCUGCUAAAUCUAUGAGAUUCAACUUCCCAGUAACAGCAUCCCCAGAACCAUCAUCAAGAGUUGAAACGGCAAUCACAAGGACACCAUGGCUCCUACUAGACACAUCAUUGAGACCUGUAUGGGCAGUUUUCCGCCUCUGAAUCCCACAAGAAAAGGCCUCAUAAAACUCAAACAUGGACUUUACAGGGACCCGAGACAGCCCCUUAAGAUGAACCUGCCCAUCUUUGUCAUCCAAAACCGUAAUUUCCUUGGCUUUGAUCUCUAACAGGUCAUAACACCUGUCCAUAUAGACCUCGUAGUAUGAUAGCUCAACUGAGCUUCCUGUGCUCUGGCACAUAGACAGGAUUUUGGACAUGGACAGCUCCAUUAGACCCGGCAUCUCAUCCGUGCCCUGGAACAUAAAAUCCCAUGCUGGAUUAACAUUACAGAAGAAAAUGCUUCAGAACAAACACUAAAAGCUGCAUUUAGUUACUUUUAACCUAUGCUAAUUCACAAAUUUCUUUUCUUUCUGGGGAUAAUUACAGAUGAUUAUCCAGAUUAAUGAUUUAUUAAUCAUAAAAUGCCUUCACUAAUGUUUCAUAUGGGUGGUCAGACGUUGGUGUAGCCACAUUGGGUAGAGCGGAUGUGCUCCCCCUCCCCGCAGUUUAGAUUAGUUUAAAAAUUAAAAUGGAACAUCGAUUAUGUAAAAAGAAACGAAAAAAAAAAGUUCAUAUCUUUGGAGAAUUCAAAUUCAAAACUGAAUUUUUGCCAAAAGAAGUAAAAAAAAUUUCAAACCUGUAUAGUGUAAGUCUUUCCACUUCCAGUAGCUCCGUAGGCGAACACCGUCGCAUUGCAGCCAUGAAAGAGUCCCGGAAUCAAGGGGCAAACUUCUCUACUGAAGAUCCGGCCAACAUUGUUAUCCUCCGGGGCAAAGAAGGAGUCUAACCGAUAGCACUCGUUUCGGCUACACCCCGAAAAACAAAAUCAGGAGUCACCAUCAAAACCCAGCUUCCCAAAUCAAGAAAGCCAAAAUUCAUCUCCGAAUUGGCUGACAGAAAAGCAAGAAAAUUACUCACCUUGUCACUUUAUCUUUGAGAUGAACAACCACUUCCUCGGUCGCAAACUCGGAUUCUUUUUCGAUAACGGAAGCGCACGGCGUCGGAUCUCUGUUACCGUCAGCGAUCUCUUGGGGAAGAAAAGGGCGCACCCGAGCGAUCACCCUGACCUUCGAAAUUGAACUGGGGUUCGUAGAUUUUGCUGGAGUUGCAGAAGAACUGUCAAGAGCUCGACCCACCUCCAUUGGAACAAAGGAAAGAGCUUUAGCUUGGAUUUCAAGUGAGAGAGAGAAUUGGGAAUUUGCAGAACGGUCUGUAACUGAAAGAUGGAGAUUAAGAGGAGGUCUGAAACUAUUUGUCGAACGUUGGGGCUUUUUCAGUUUGAAUUUUUGGAUUGGGUGCGGACUGUGCCGUUGGGCCUCGUGUGUGGUGGGGGCCUAUUUCUUACUCCUUCGGAAUGUUUGCUGUUUAGGAUGAGAGAUUUUUUAGUAUAACCGCUAUACGGAUGGGACGUGUUAUUAUACAAAUGAUGAGAUAUAAAUUUUUGUGUUUUGACUGUCGAACGUGGUUUGUACCCAUGUUGAGUCAAGUGACAUCUAAAUGUAGGAAGCCCAUUGUCGAACGUGGUUUGUACCCAUGUUGAGUCAAGUGACAUCUAAAUGUAGGAAGCCCAUUAUUUAUGAGCAAGUAGGACAGUGUAAUUAUACAAAUGAUGAGAUAUAAAUUUUUGUAUUUUGACUGUCGAACGUGGUUUGUACCCAUGUUGAGUCAAGUGACAUCUAAAUGUAGGAAGCCCAUUAUUUAUGAGCAAGUCGGACAGUGUAAUUAUUUCGACUAACACGUACAAGAACUAGUUCUUUUUUUUUUUUUUUGGGAGGGGGUGGGGUUAGCCUUACAAAGGGUUAGUAAAUAGUGUGGUUCAAAUUCGCUUUUAGCGAGAAUUGAACCUAAGACCUUUUAUUUAUAGGUGAAGGUGAAUACCACUAGAUCGUAGUACUAAGUGGCAUCAAUAACUACUUUCUAAACAAUGAUAAAUUCUUCCCCGUUGCUUGUUGAGAUCAAAUGAGGCCCAUAGUAAGUAUGGUCGUAUUGUCUUUGCAUUAGAAGAAAGACUUUUAUGAUAUAAGUAUACACUAUCUUGACAUUUGGUGUCAAUACUAUAAAAACAUGUGUAAAUUUUUAUUUAUAGCAUCGUAUCAUUAACAUAAUUUGUUGAUAGUAUAACUAGGAUUUGGAUUUCGGAUCCAAAUUGUAGGAAUUCUAGAAAUUCUCACAUCUUAAUUGUUUAUCGUACAUCAUGCAGUCAGAAAUUAUUUUGAAUUUAUUUAUUUAAAACUAAACAUAAAUAAUAAUGAACAUUAAAUGCACAAUAUACGAUAAACGAUCAUGAUGUAAGGAUUUCUGAAAACACCACAAAAAAGAUCCGGUGGAUUCUCAUCCGUAUAACCAUGCCAUCAAGUUGCUCUCAUGAAUUUUCGAAGUAAAAAAAGCUGCUCUCAUGAAUUUGGUUUGUAUAUGGGCCCCCACCAUGGACCCACAACUUGUAAGACAAAGCCGCAUAUGACCGGCGGAGGGAAACUCUCUCCCAACCAGGCCCAAAUGGCCCCCUCGUCAGAGUUUCAAUUACCCAAACGUUUGAGGACCUGUCAGCAAGGCGGCGCAAAUAUGUGAAGGGUUUUAGACAAAGACCGUAAUUGUAUAUGCGUUAAACCCUAAACCCCCAAAAUUGUGGGAAAUCACGAAGAUGGAGAAGGGCAUGCUGUCUGCAAACUUGGAGGGUCUUCCCGAAGAAGACAAGCACAGAAUGGCCACCUUGAUCGACCAACUCCAGAUUCGCGACAGGUUUUUCUGAUUUUUUUUUUAAAUGCAGUGUUUUUUUGUAAUUUGUUCUCAGUAAUUUGUGAUUAGUGAGGCAUGUUCUUGAUACGGUGCAUGAUAGAUUGAAGUCUUAGAAAAAUACCCACAAAAUUAAAUGGUUAAUUGUUAGCAGGAAAUUUGAAACUACGAUGUGAUUCCAAUGUAAUCAAGUAUAUGUUUUGAAAUUUUGAAAACCGAACCGAACCGGAUAUAUGUCUUGGGUUUGGCUCAUGGUUUUGAUGAUGAACUGGCCCAAACCGAACUGUGCCCAUCCCUACUGAUUUCGGUUGUGUUUGUCCAAAAAAUGCAGUCUGAGGAUGUAUAAUUCAUUGGUGGAGAGAUGCUUUACCGACUGCGUAGACACCUUUUAUCGCAAAGCGCUGACGAAGCAAGAGGAUACGUGCGUUCGUAGGUGCGCUGAGAAGUUCCUCAAGCACUCGAUGCGCGUUGGCAUGAGGUUUGCAGAGCUUAAUCAAGGAGCGGCUACUCAAGAUUAAGCUAAGCUCUAUGUAUGAAUCAUUUUUUGGUAUGGAAGGUCUUGGAAAUCUUUCGAGUCGGUUUACGGAAGUUGCAAUUUGUUUAGCCUUGAUUCUAGAAUUGUGUUUCUUACACUGAUUAGAUUCGUACAUUUUCAAAAGAAAAAAAAUAUUCAUGGUGAGGUUUUACAGUUAGCUGGAACUGGAUAUGAAUUGGUUAUGAUUUAUGAUUUUGCCCUUUUAUUCGCGUAUCAUAUCUGGUGUGGUAAAUUCGUUGUGUACACGUAGACUGUGAUUGAAAGUUUAGGAGGAACGGCUCCUUGCCUCUGCAGCAUUGCAAGUGUAGAGAUUGAGAUUGUGUAGUUUUGUUCAUUGAUGAAGUCCCGACUGCGAAAAAAUGAAUAUAGGAUUUGGGAUUGAUAGACUUUGAUGCAACCCUUCAUUCUUGGUAUACAGAUCCUUCCAUUCUUCCCCUUAAUUUAGAACUUGACUUCGGUUGGCAGUGAUCUUGAUAGUGAGGCAACCAAGUGAUUUAGAUUAGAUGAGAAGAAAAUUGGUUUGUAAAAUCACCGCCUUCUGAGCCUUUUCCCCUUUCUGCUAAGGAUGAUAAAGAUUACGAUGUGACUGUGAAAGUAUCUCAAGGACUAGAAAAGGAAAACUCGAAGGGAGAUUACCUAACAGUGAAUGAAGAAGUUGCCAGUUGGUCUCCCGGGCAUGGAGGUCCCUGCUUGAACUUGAUGAGCAAUUAGGCAGAAAUGUGAGCAAGCAGAUGCAGGGGAUUGAAUUGAACAUGCUGUGAUGCAGGCAAUUUUUUGCUUCGAUGAUUGUUUUGGAAUGCAGUUUUCUAGUGCUUGUUAUUUGGGAUUCAAUCAUGUAUAUUUUUACGUUGAGUUGUGUUAUUGAAGGAAGGAUGAAGGUUGUUCUUGGUAAAGAUUCCAUGAUGCUUUGUGGGGAAGUUGUUGGAUAUAAAGAUGUCAAAUGCUAG